GAGACAGCAUUACACGUGGCAUGGUGAUACUUCAAUAUUGCCAAAGCAUUUCCUUUGCGAUAAUUAUAUAUCCUCACUCGGUGAUCCCACCCAGCAGUUGCAGCAAUUUUGCCAUCUGCUCGGAUUGAUGUGCCUGAUAUACCAGGCCGUUCCAAGAUAAUCUCUUUCUUGAUCACACAAGAAGCUGUAGAAAGAUCCAAACUAAAUAAACCAAUUUUAUCAUCAGCUGCCCCAGAGAUACCGCCCUUACACAGCCCAUCAAUGCAUAGGCUAAGAACUGGCUCUGUGUGAAACUUAACGGAAGUUAGAGGAACACCUGGGUUUCGCAUGUCCCACCAAAGCAUAGAACCAUCCUCAUAACCAGCCAAGACAUAUACGAAUCCUUGUGAUUCUGUUGGUAGAUAUCCUUGAACAGCCAUGCACAUCCCUCUUUUGUCGGUAGAAAUACUUGGUGAGCCACCAAAGCAGCUAUGAGAUAACCGAGAAAUCCUUUCUGCAGUGUUAAGAUCCCAUAUCUCAANNNNNNNCAGAAGACUGCUCCCCUGCUAUAGCAACAAACUUUGGUCCAUCAAUACUAUCUUCUUCAAAGGUGCCAGAGCACUCUACUGAAUCUUCUUUAUGAUUUCCUUCUCUAUCAUACAAAAUAUUUGCAUCAACAGUUUCCAAAUCCUCCUCAUGUUCAUGAAAAGGUGCUUUAUCUUGCCUCAAAUUAGUAUAAGGUUUCUUCACUAAAGAAAGCUUGCAGAAGUGGUAUGAGUUCGUCUUGAUUGUAAGUGCAGGUACCCUAGGCAAACCUCCUUCUUUGAUAUCCCACAACUUAACAGUUCCAUCCCUACCCUGAUAACUUUGUCAAUGCCAAUCACAGGACUGUUGGCAACAGUUAUUAUUCCAUGAGCUGCACUAUGCACCCAAGAAGAUGACAUUGUUCGAUGCUGAAGUGUAUCCCAAAUUCGCAACUCACCAUCAGUCGAACCAGUGAAUAGAAUAGGUUUAGAAGAAUGGAAACAAACAUCCAUUAUAGGAGCACGAUGGCCCCUUAGUACAGCAACAGGAUCAGGCGGUGGCCUCCUCUUGCUCAUAUUCUGGCUUAUAUG
rnacentral:misc_RNA from 1 species